rnacentral:rRNA from 1 species
CCCUUAGAUGUUCUGGGCCGCACGCGCGCUACACUGAAGGGAUCAGCGUGUUUUCCCUUCCCGAGAGGGACGGGUAACCCGCUGAACCCCCUUCGUGGUAGGGAUCGGAGCUUGCAAUUGUUCUCCGUGAACCAGGAAUUCCCAGUAAGCGCAAGUCAUAAGCUUGCGUUGAUUACGUCCCUGCCCUUUGUACACACCGCCCGUCGCUACUACCGAUUGAACGUCUUAGUGAGGUAUUUGGACUGGGCCUUGGGAGGUUUCGGCCUCCCUUGUUGCUCGGAAAGACUCCCAAACUUGAGCGUUUAGAGGAAGUAAAAGUCGUAACA